rnacentral:rRNA from 1 species
AUUGAACGCUGGCGGCAUGCUUUACACAUGCAAGUCGAACGGUAACAGGCCGCAAGGUGCUGACGAGUGGCGAACGGGUGAGUAAUGCAUCGGAACGUGCCCAGUCGUGGGGGAUAACUACUCGAAAGAGUAGCUAAUACCGCAUACGAUCUAUGGAUGAAAGCGGGGGACCGUAAGGCCUCGCGCGAUUGGAGCGGCCGAUGUCAGAUUAGGUAGUUGGUGGGGUAAAGGCUCACCAAGCCAACGAUCUGUAGCUGGUCUGAGAGGACGACCAGCCACACUGGGACUGAGACACGGCCCAGACUCCUACGGGAGGCAGCAGUGGGGAAUUCUGGACAAUGGGCGCAAGCCUGAUCCAGCAAUGCCGCGUGCAGGAAGAAGGCCUUCGGGUUGUAAACUGCUUUUGUACGGAACGAAACGGCUCUGGUUAAUACCCGGGGCUAAUGACGGUACCGUAAGAAUAAGCACCGGCUAACUACGUG